UACGUAGGGUGCGAGCGUUAAUCGGAAUUACUGGGCGUAAAGUGUGCGCAGGCGGUCGCGCAAGUCGAGUGUGAAAGCCCCGGGCUUAACUUGGGAAUUGCGCUCGAAACUACGUGGCUGGAGUAUGGCAGAGGAAGGUGGAAUUCCACGUGUAGCGGUGAAAUGCGUAGAGAUGUGGAGGAACACCGAUGGCGAAGGCAGCCUUCUGGGCCAAUACUGACGCUCAUGCACGAAAGCGUGGGGAGCAAACAGG
rnacentral:rRNA from 1 species